UGCCUGCAUAUUCGUGCACUUUGGGUGUACUUGCCCGUGUGUAAGUUAACAUCAAUUUUGGUGGUCAUAAAAUGGCGGGAGGAAUGUAGCUUCGAUCUUGUAUUGAAGUGUUAUAGCCUUCGGUAGAUGUGACGAUCGGGAUUGAGGAUUGCAACGGAUACCCUUCGGGGCUACCUGUCUGAUCUCUGAUUGUUGCUCUGGUACCGAAAGCUUGCUUACGGUUAUCAAAGUCGAUGGUCCAUAGGUUAGAACGGGUUAAAUUCGUUAAGGAUGUUGACGUAA
rnacentral:rRNA from 1 species